AGAAUAAUGAUUAAUAGUGUGUAAAAGAGAAUAUUUUCCUGCAUGAGAAUACUUUUACCCACAGCCAAACCUGCUCGGAGGCCCCUCUCUCACACACACACACACACACACACACACAUACAGGCACGUACACGCGCACAGACACACACACACACACACAGUCACGGUCCUGCUCACACACCCGCCAGCCCCCCUUAACCAAACAUUCAGUCUCUUGACUUCACACACACACACACACACACACACACACACACACACACACACACACACACACACACACACACACACACAGUGAGACAUGUUCAGACACAAAAUUAUUUUAUUUAUCCGAGCAACCAAUAAGGAAUAAUUACGUGUAGAUACGUGUACAUACGUAAUAUAACCACGCCCUUUAUUCAAUAAAAGCAGAGAGGUUACGGUACUCUACCAAACAUUCAACAGGCGGUGGUGUUUCUAACGUUACACGGCAAAAGAUCGCAAAACAUGGAUGCUCUUACGAACGCACCAAGAAAGGAAAUCGCAGGGUCUGAAAAGAAUCAUGUAUGGCCGCUAUCAGACGGUCGAUUCUUUGGAUUUCGUUUCCACGAUGAUAUGAAAUGCGUCACUCUGUGUAUCGGUCCAACAGUAAGAUUUGAGGAUGCGACCGUUUUGAUAACUCUUAAUGGAGAGGAAUGGCAUAGCUUCUCAAGACAUUGUUCAGUUUUUAACACCUAUCUCAUUUACAGAAAUUGUUACUGUAAACCGGAUUACCAUGAGAAAUUUAAUUUAACAUGGACACCCUAUAUACAAACCGGAACAAUGUUGCGUUCAUUCAAUCUAUAUCCGUAUUUAAAUGCCAAAUCGUACAAUGCCAGACUUACAAUUGUUCACGAAGUUACAAGUUUAUUAAAACAAAACAAUUUUUUUGAACAGGAAUGUAAAAUUGAAUUACAAAAUGAUGACUUCAACGCAAUGCAGACGUACUUUGCAAUAAUAGACCGUAUGUUCAUUGAGAGCAUCGUUGAAAAACAUUAAAUCUGAUACAGAAUUUCUGAGCUUCCGAAUGCGUUAUCAUCAGUAAAAACUGAAUAGUUUAGAGUGCAGUGUAUCUUAGUGUUUGAGUCUGUGUCAGCGGCAAGAUUUGUACCACGGCCUGCUGUAUUGUGUUUCUGAUCUUCCAGGACAGCUGCGUGACCAAUUAGUGAUUUCUUACUCAAGACUUGCAUGCGCUUCUCAAUGUAUAUAAACACGGACUUUCAUACGGACACAAACAUUUUCAGAGCUCAAGAAUCUCUUUCGUUGGAAGAUAAUGGAGUCUGGUAAGUUUGCUUUUGGUCUGGAUUGAAUAUAAAUAUUUUUAUUAUUAUUCAUACUGAUGUUAAUAUAGUAUGGUUAUUUAGAAUGUUGCUAGAACGUAAUUAGAAUGUCAAAUAUAAUACAAUGUUUUUAAACCAAAUUAUAUUAUAGUAAUGUUUCGUUCUAUUCUUUUAAAAUAGGUAACAUUCAGAAAUGUUUUUAAUAGUUAUGUAAUAAUUCAACAUUCAGCAACUAUCAAUGCAACGAAACACCAGGGGUCAAUUAUAUCCAAAAACCUCCAACUCCAUACGAACUGACUGCUGAAACAAGAAGCAGCAGUCCCAUUUACAUCACUGAUACUCCACCCAAUAGCUCCACAAUUCCAGGGUGUGAUUCUCCUGCGUAUGCCAAUAACGGUAAUCAAUCUCCAUACAAUGUAAUCCUGAACUCUCCAUCCUACUCCCCAACAAUCCCUAAUCGUGAAUCUGAUCAACAAUCCCCUGCGAAAGGUUAUCAGUACAGCCAUAAUGACACGCUUUCCGAUUCCGAUGUUAACGCCAAUGAUGAUCUGAGGGACGAUCUACGCGAUCUACGCCACCUUCACAAGUCUGUGUCUUUGACGUUCAAGAAACUCAUGCGCGUGAAAACACACGGGUCAAGAGUUCAAAGUAAGCAUGUUCAUGCAUUGUGUAAGAAACGUGUGAGCCUUUAUAUGAAUCAAUGUACUACCCUACUCAAUAAACACCAUGUCUAGGAAAAGGUGUGAUAAUUGUUUUAAUGUUGAAGCCAAGAGGUGUAAAAUCAGACAGGAAUCUGAAUAUGCCCCCAUCACAUCCGAUCAUUUAACUUGUGAAUGUGUAUCAGAUACAGAACUUACACUCAACUUACAGCAUGACCAUUUCCAUCAGUUAAACCAAAGUUUAGAUAGACUACGGAAUGAAUGUAAUCCUUCUGUAAUAGACGCUGUUAAUCGGCUUAACGAAAGUUUAGCUUUAACGCCCGACCUCAAUAAUGUUACGGAACAAUCUGUAACAACGCCUCAAAAUGUAACGCAAGAGUCAAACAUAGAUUUGUUUCACAAUCUAAACCAAAGUUUAGAUAGACUUCGGAAUGAAUGUAAUCCUUCUCUAUUAGACGCUGUUAAUCGGCUUAACGAAAGUUUAGCUUUAACGCCC